rnacentral:rRNA from 1 species
GAUGAACGCUGGCGGCGUGCCUAAUACAUGCAAGUCGAGCGAACGGACGAGAAGCUUGCUUCUCUGAUGUUUGCGGCGGACGGGUGAGAAACACGUGGAUAACCUACUUAUAAUACUGGGAAAACCUCGGGAAACGGGAGCAAAUACCGGAGAAUAUUUUGAACCGCGUGGUUCAAAAGUGAAAGACGGUCUUGCGGUCUCUUCUAGAUGGAUACGCGCUGCAUGAGCUAGUUGGUAAGGUAACGGCUUACCAAGGCAACGAGGCAUAGCCGAACUGAGAGAGUGGUCGGCCACACUGGAGCGGAGACACGGUCCAGACUACUACGGGAGGCAGCAGUAGGGAAUCUUCCGCAGUGGGCGAGAGCCUGACGGAGCAACGCCGCGUGAGUGAUGAAAGUCUUCGGAUCGUAAAACUCUGUUAUUAGGGAAGAACAGAUGUGUAAGUAACUGUGCACAGCUUGACGGUACCUAAUCAGAAAGCCACGGCUAACUACGUG